rnacentral:tRNA from 1 species
UAGAGUAUGGUGUAAAUAGGUAGCACGAAGAUUUUUGAAUUCUUAGGAGUAGGUUCAAUUCCUGUAACUCUAG